GCCAGAGUAGUGUAGUGGUUUGAGUAAUAGACUCUGACUCUGGAGACCAGAGUUCGAAUCUUUGUUCAGUCU